rnacentral:lncRNA from 1 species
AGGUGGGUCUGAUCUAAACAGAUGAGCCCUUAAAAGGAGAGAACUACUCCAGCUGGAAGCAGAAGGGGACUUCAGAGAGAGGUGGUGUAAGGAGGUCAGAUUCUAAGUGUGAUAAGGAUGUGGCAUGCCAUUGCCGGCUCUGAGAUGUAGAGGCUUGUGUGCUAGGACUGGAGAGAGACCUUAAGAGAAGAAGGGAGGCCACCAGUUGACAGCCAGCAAAGAAAUGGGCCUCAGUCCUACAGCCACAAGCAACUAAUUCUGCCAACAACCUGAAUGAGCUUGGAAGCAGAUUCUUUUCAAAGCCUUCCAGUAAGAGCCAAGCUGGCUGAUACCUUGAUUUUGGCCUCAUGAAGCCAAGAGCAGAGAAAACAGCUGAGCCAGCCUGGAUGUCUGAACUACAGACUGGUCCUGGAACCCUCUUACCUGUCAAUGACUUUCCCUCUUGGAAUUUGAGGGAACAACUGGAAUGCCCCCAGCUUUUCCCACAGAUGACAAGAAGCUGAAGCUCAGAAAGGUUUGCGUAGCAGUAAGAGGCCAAGCCACAGUUGGAACCUGCAUUUCCUGAAGUCAGUUUCCAUGUUCUUUCCACUUUAUCAUAGCUCCUUCCUCCGAAUAGCGCUGACCCAGAGUAAAUCCUCAAGGUUUGCUUCAGCUAAACCGGCAUCAUCAAAAGAUUUUAAAAGUCCUAAGGCUAUAAAACCUCUCCAAAGCCCACAGACCUGUUUAGAUGAGGGGAGGAGACUGAGCUGACCGACUAGUAUUGUCCAUUAGCACAAUUCCUAUUCCCUUACCUUAUUACAGUGGCCUGUGUGGAACAG